UGUUGUACAAUUCCUGUCUAUCUCAUUGAAUACAGCUUUCAGCAGCCCCUCGUGCCAAGUUUGAGUCCAAUUAAACUACAAUGAAAGUCCUGAAGAUGGCUGCCUGCAGGGAAGGAUCCGACGCCACCCGAGGUCUCAGGAAGUGUUUCCGACCACACAAAUGGAAAAUGCUCGAGAAGAGCACAACUGGCCCUGAAACAAAACUAAGAUGGGGACCCCUAUUGGUAUGAAAAAAAUCCCAGGGAAAACGGAAACGAAGCACAGUCUUCUUAACCAAAUAUGCCUGAACCU